rnacentral:misc_RNA from 1 species
GAUGAAGAACGCAGUGAAAUGCGAUAAGUAAUGUGAAUUGCAGAAUUCAGUGAAUCAUCGAAUCUUUGAACGCACAUUGCGCCCCCUGGUAUUCCGGGGGGCAUGCCUGUUCGAGCGUCAUUUCAACCCUCAAGCUCUGCUUGGUAUUGAGUCCAUGUCAGCAAUGGCAGGCUCCAAAAUCAGUGGCGGCGCCGCUGGGUCCUGAACGUAGUAAUAUCUCUCGUUACAGGUGCUCGGCGUGCUUCUGCCAAAACCCCAAUUUUUCUAUGGUUGACCUCGGAUCAGGUAGGGAUACCCGCUGAACUUAAGCAUAUCAAUAAGCGGAGGA